GAGUCGGACCUGCCCAGUGAAUUAAUUUUUCAACGGCCGCGGUACUCUGACCGUGCAAAGGUAGCAUAAUCAUUUGCCCUAUAAUUGAGGGCUAGUAUGAAUGGUUUGACGUGAGCAAAACUGUCUCUACAUAAAUUUCUAGAACUUGAUUUUUAGGUGAAGAAACCUAAAUUCAAUUGAUAGACAAGAAGACCCUAUUGAGCUUUAAAAAAGUAGGUAGUAAGUAAUAUAUUAAUCUAAAUAUUAAUCUAUCUUAAAUUUUGGUUGGGGCGACUGAGGAACAAAUAAAGCUUCUUAAAUAUGUUCAAACCCGCGGGUUUUGAUCCAGAAAUUCUGAUUAAUGGAAAUAGUUACCAUAGGGAUAACAGCAUAAUUUUCUUUGAGAGUCCUUAUCGAAAAGAAAGUUUGUGACCUCGAUGUUGGACUAGAAUAUCCUAAAGAUGCAGCAGUCUUCAAGGGUUNGUC
rnacentral:rRNA from 1 species